UACGUAGGGACCGAGCGUGUCCGGAAUCAUUGGGCGUAAAGAGCGUGUAGGCGGCCUUUUAAGUCCUGCGUGAAAUCCUGCGGCUCAACCGCAGACGGUCGUGGGAAACUGGAAGGCUAGAGUGCGGGAGAGGAGAGUGGAAUUCCCGGUGUAGCGGUGAAAUGCGCAGAUAUCGGGAAGAACACCCGUGGCGAAGGCGGCUCUCUGGUACGUGACUGACGCUGAGACGCGAAAGCGUGGGGAGCGAACGAG
rnacentral:rRNA from 1 species